AUGGUGGUUAUCCUGAGUCUCUAGAAGGGCGAGCGCAUUCGUGCUGGCAUCGCCUGCUGCAGGUUUGAGACCCAGUAGGUGGCGGGUCUAGGCCCUAUUGGCCGGGAACCUGACCCUGAUUCCCACUGGGAGCCGGAGGAACCAGAGCUGCAGGAAGUGGAGAGCACCCUGCAACGCUGGAAAAAAGCAAUCCGAUUCCAGAAAAUUUGGAGGCAAAUGGAGGUGCCUGGUCCUGGUCAGUUCCUAGGCUGGCAGAAGGCUCUGCUGUCAGCACUGAUGCACUGAAGCGCAGAAGUUUAAAAAGCAAGUUUGUACCCACAUUGGAACAGAAGCUGAAGCAGGAUUUAAAAAAAAAAGUCCUUAAGAAAGCUGGGCUUGCCUAGCUCCCGCAGCUCCAGGGCUCUGGGAACGCCUCGAAACUGCUCCCUGCGGGCCACUCUGUAUUAGGAUCUUUGCUUAUGCCAGGGCAUGAAGCCUCGUCCAAAGACCCGAAAUAACAGCACCACUUUGAAAGCAAUAGAUUCAAAUACUCACAGGGAAAAUACACCAAGGAGAUGGAAGGGAAGGAAUGAAGGAAUCCAGGGCCUGGAAGAGAGAUUUUGCAACCCUGGGUCAUCAGGCAGAGCUGCAGAAGUACUCCAGUGAUUGUGAGGGCACCAGAAGGACUGGCCAUGGUGGGCUGCCAAGUGAUCAGAAGCUGGCGGAGUUGAAGGCGAGGGAGCGGGUAACUUCGCAGCAAAGUAGCGCAGAGCGGGCAGGGGCUCUUUGACAGCAACGGCAACUUUCUGUACAGAAUUUGAGUCGUGGCUUGGCUUGUGGAGAUGCCUCGUGAAACAGCUGGGCAAGGAUUAAUAUAUAUGGAGCAGCCUGGAAUUCCGUGUAUGGAUAAGCCAGCUUGGAACAGGAAGAAGUGAUGAGCCUGGGAUGUGGGUGGAAAGAGCUGCGUGGAUAGAUUCAAACUUCCUAUAGUGGUGCUCCCAGUCUGACCUCUGUAGAUCUUCAGUACUCAACCCUUCUUGCCUGGGCUCUCUGUAUGUUGAAAACCAGUCUGUCUUGCAUGUAUUGUUACAAUUUUCUGUGGUACUUGCAAUAUAUAUUUGAGCAGAAGUGAAAAUUUUGACUUCUGACCUCAUUUCCUUCUUUAUCAGUGAACACUAACAGUUCUGGGAAAACUUAGUCAAUUGGCUUUCCUCACAAGCAAAAUCAAGAAAACUGUAGCAA